ACAAAGGGCAGCAAGUUCGCGAGGACAAGCAAAUCCCAUAAACCGUGGCUCAGUUCAGAUCGUAGGCUGCAACUCGCCUACGUGAAGGAGGAAUCGCUAGUAAUCGCAGGUCAGCAUACUGCGGUGAAUACGUUCCCGGGCCUUGUACACACCGCCCGUCACACCAUGGAAGUUGGCCACGCCCGAAGCCGUUACUCCAACCCUUGUGGAGGAGGACGUCGAAGGUGGGGCUGAUGACUGGGGUGAAGUCGUAACAAGGCAUCCGUACCGGAAGGUGCGGAUGGAUCACCUCCUAAC
rnacentral:rRNA from 1 species